rnacentral:sRNA from 1 species
GUUGGGUACAGUAGUGCAUGCCUAUAGUCCCAGCUACUGGGAGGCUGAGGUAGGAGGAUCACUUGAAUCCAGGAGUUUAAGUCAGCCUGGGUAACACAGUGAGACCCUGUCUCUG